CUGGCGGCAUGCCUACCAUGCGAGUCGAACGAUGCUUUCGGGCAUAGUGGCGCACGGGUGCGUAACGCGUGGGAAUCUGCCCUUAGGUUCGGAAUAACAGCGAGAAAUUGCUGCUAAUACCGGAUGAUGGCGUAAGUCCAAAGAUUUAUCGCCUAGGGAUGAGCCCGCGUAGGAUUAGCUAGUUGGUGUGGUAAAGGCGCACCAAGGCGACGAUCCUUAGCUGGUCUGAGAGGAUGAUCAGCCACACUGGGACUGAGACACGGCCCAGACUCCUACGGGAGGCAGCAGUGGGGAAUAUUGGACAAUGGGCGCAAGCCUGAUCCAGCAAUGCCGCGUGAGUGAUGAAGGCCUUAGGGUUGUAAAGCUCUUUUACCCGGGAUGAUAAUGACAGUACCGGGAGAAUAAGCCCCGGCUAACUCCGUGCCAGCAGCCGCGGUAAU
rnacentral:rRNA from 1 species